GGCAAUUUGUCCGAGUGGUUAAGGAGCGGGUUUUGAAGUCCCGUGUGCUUUGCACGCGCAGGUUCGAAUCCUGCAGUUGUCG
rfam:Hanseniaspora osmophila strain AWRI3579 Hanseniaspora_osmophila_AWRI3579_scaffold8, whole genome shotgun sequence.